rnacentral:rRNA from 1 species
UUGGACGGCCAUAGGGGCUUGGUUCACUGGAUCCCAUAUUCCUGAUUCAUUAGGAAUUGGAAGGGAAUUUCGAACUCCAAAGUUAAGCGAGCUUCCGUUCUUAGGUGUACUGCACUUUGUGUGGGAAACUAGGAAAGCUGUCCACC